AGAAGAAAACUGCUAGACUAUCUCCAGACAUCUCUUCUACUGGACUGGAAGGAAUUUUCACUUUUCGUGUUGAUUCUCCAAGUACAUCUUUCUUCUGCAAGUUAUUUCCAUUUAACAGAACAUAAGCAAUCAUAAAUAUUCAUGGAGCUUUGAAAGAACUAGUGAGACAACAUCUUUUGCUGACAAUUCAGCCUACAGAUGAUACACAACUCCAUAUCUUGCUUACACCAAAGAAAAACAGCACCAACUAACAGCUUCCUUAAUGCCUAGCACCUGUAUGAAAAGCACCUGGCUAAAACAGAAUUCAGGCAGGCUGACUGAGGAUUAGAAAAAAAAAAGGAGGUUGUUGAAGAAGAAGGAAAAAGAGAGUUAAAAAGGAACUCCGUGAAAACAAAAGUUCUCCCAAGCCAUUUGGUUUGUUCCCAGAACUCAGA